rnacentral:sRNA from 12 species
UUUUAUUUUUCUUUGGACAGGAAAGAUAAACUAAAAGGACUACACGUCAAUUGAUAGUGCUUUCAUAAGAAGCCAUAAAAUUCAACAGCGAUAAUUGGUAACUGAAAUAUUGUGAAUAUUAAAGCUGUGGUGAUUUACUUUUAAUUAAUUGGCUACAUGGC